rnacentral:misc_RNA from 1 species
UUAUCGAAAUUCAAAAUAGCAUUAUCGAAAAUUCAAAAAGGCCGGAGAAGAAGAGAUGAAGCAGAAAAGAAAGGUCUACGACGAUAGUUCUCUGGAGAGUUGCAGAUCUCCAGCAGAAAGAGCUCAAUCUCGUUCUUCACUUGGAAAUCGUGAUGGGAUUUCGAAUGAUGUGUAAAUGAUUAAUUACGUUGAAUACUGAAUAGUCUCGUACUACUCGCAUUAAUCUCGUACUGCUGACUUUGGGCUUCGUUCUGGUUUUCGAAUGGUGAGUGUUCAAAAAGAGGCAAUUGCAUAAGUACGGAGCAUUAAGUCCAGUCCAGUCCAGACACAGUAAAUCCAACAACAAAAGUAAUACUUUUCAUUCUCCAGAGACUGAGCAUGGCAGAGAACAUGUUCUGAUAAUAAGCCGCAGAUGCACUGUCCUCAACAAAAGCACCAUCAGAAUCUGAUACCAGUAAAAGCCACUAAAUGGACUCUGUUUCAUCAAAGAGGUGAGUACGGAAUUAUAUUGGUGUAGAUUGAAAAGCUUAAUAGAAUCAAAGUACAAUUUGUUUUAAGGCUGAUAUACAACUGUACACCAUUGAGUUAUUGUCUGAUCUCCUGAUCAAAAGUUGUAUCUCGUUUGGUUAUAACUUACAUCUAAAAAUGAGUUUAUCAAUUUUACGAAAAUUGGGUCCACAUAGAUAACGUACAUAACUCAUAUCGACUGGCUUAUGUUUGCUCGACUCAUGAUAAAGGUAUCAUAGGUUCUUUACAGGUUCUAGAGAUCAGCUUUUCAUAUACUUAUUGUUCUGUAGUGACGUGUCUUUGGCCUCUACCAACCUUUCACUUUGCUUAUCCCCAACAAUUUCUGGUGCGUGAAAGCUCUUUUGCUGGCACAAAGAAAGCUCUUUUACUGGCACAAAUGAUGGCUCAAAGACACAUCUGCAACACCCUCCAAGUUUUGACUAUGGAAUUUAAGCAAACAUCAACAUCACAUUUUCACCUAAAAAGGU